AUUGAACGCUGGCGGCAGGCUUAACACAUGCAAGUCGAGCGGGGGAGGUUGCUUCGGUAACUGACCUAGCGGCGGACGGGUGAGUAAUACUUAGGAAUCUGCCUAUUAAUGGGGGACAACAUCUCGAAAGGGAUGCUAAUACCGUAUACGCCCUACGGGGAAAGCAGGGAUCACUUGUGACCUUGCGUUAAUAGAUGAGCCUAAGUCGGAUUAGCUAGUUGGUGGGGUAAAGGCCUACCAAGGCGACGAUCUGUAGCGGGUCUGAGAGGAUGAUCCGCCACACUGGGACUGAGACACGGCCCAGACUCCUACGGGAGGCAGCAGUGGGGAAUAUUGGACAAUGGGGGAACCCUGAUCCAGCCAUGCCGCGUGUGUGAAGAAGGCCUUAUGGUUGUAAAGCACUUUAAGCGAAGGNGGAAGGCUCUCUUGGUUAAUACCCAAGAAUGAGUGGACGUUACUCGCAGAAUAAGCACGGCUAACUCUGUGCCAGCCGCCGCGGUAACACC
rnacentral:rRNA from 1 species